rnacentral:rRNA from 1 species
GUCGAGCGCGGGAAGCGAGUGGAUCCCUUCGGGGUGAAGCUCGUGGAACGAGCGGCGGACGGGUGAGUAACACGUGGGCAACCUGCCUGUAAGACCGGAAUAACCCCGGGAAACCGGGGCUAAUGCCGGGUAAUACUUUUCUUCGCAUGAAGGAAAGUUGAAAGAUGGCUUCUUGCUAUCACUUACAGAUGGGCCCGCGGCGCAUUAGCUAGUUGGUGAGGUAACGGCUCACCAAGGCGACGAUGCGUAGCCGACCUGAGAGGGUGAUCGGCCACACUGGGACUGAGACACGGCCCAGACUCCUACGGGAGGCAGCAGUAGGGAAUCUUCCGCAAUGGACGAAAGUCUGACGGAGCAACGCCGCGUGAACGAUGAAGGUCUUCGGAUCGUAAAGUUCUGUUGUUAGGGAAGAACAAGUACCGUGCGAAUAGAGCGGUACCUUGACGGUACCUAACGAGGAAGCCCCGGCUAACUACGUGCCAGCAGCCGCGGUAAUACGUAGGGGGCAAGCGUUGUCCGGAAUUAUUGGGCGUAAAGCGCGCGCAGGCGGUUCCUUAAGUCUGAUGUGAAAGCCCACGGCUCAACCGUGGAGGGUCAUUGGAAACUGGGGAACUUGAGGACAGAAGAGGAGAGUGGAAUUCCACGUGUAGCGGUGAAAUGCGUAGAUAUGUGGAGGAA